rnacentral:rRNA from 1 species
AACGAACGCUGGCGGCAUGCCUAACACAUGCAAGUCGAACGAGACCUCCGGGUCUAGUGGCGCACGGGUGCGUAACGCGUGGGAACCUGCACUUAGGUUCGGAAUAACUCCCCGAAAGGGGUGCUAAUACCGGAUAAUGUCUUCGGACCAAAGAUUUAUCGCAUUUGGAUGGGCCCGCGUUGGAUUAGCUAGUUGGUAGGGUAAAAGCCUACCAAGGCGACGAUCCAUAGCUGGUCUGAGAAGAUGAUAAGCCACACUGGGACUGAGGCACGGCCCAGACUCCUACGGGAGGCAGCAGUGGGGAAUAUUGGACAAGGGGCGAAAGCCUGGUCCAGCAAUGCCGCGUAAGAGAUGAAUGCCUUAGGAUUGUAAAGCUCUUUUACCCGAUAUGAGAAUGACAGUACCGGGAGAAUAAGCUCCGGCUAACUCCGUG